ACUCCUACGGGAGGCAGCAGUGGGAAGUAUUGCACAAUGGGGGAAACCCUGAUGCAGCCAUGCCGCGUGUGUGAAGAAGGCCUUGGGUUGUAAAGCACUUUCAGUAGGGAGGAAGGUAGUGUAGUUAACACCGCAUUAUUUGACGUUACCUACAGAAGAAGCACCGGCUAACUCCGUGCCAGCAGCCGCGGUAAUACGGGAGGGUGCGAGCGUUAAUCGGAAUUACGUGGGCGUAAAGCGCAUGCAGGCGGCCUGUUAAGUCAGAUGUGAAAGCCCGGGGUCUUAACCUCGGAAUUGCAUUUGAAACUGGCAGGCUAGAGUCUUGUAGAGGGGGUUAGAAUUUCAGGUGUAGCGGUGAAAUGCGUAGAGAUCUGAAGGAAUACCAGUGGCGAAGGCGGCCCCUGGACAAAGACUGACGCUCAGAUGCGAAAGCGUGGGAGCAAACAGGAUUAGAUACCCCUGGUAGACUGUCA
rnacentral:rRNA from 1 species